AUUUAAAUAGCUUAAAAAAAGUAUAAUAUUGAAAAUAUUAAGAUAAUAAAAAUUUUUAAAUA
rnacentral:tRNA from 1 species